GCGCGGCUGCGCAUGCGCGUGGCGUCGCGUCGCGUCGGUUAGACCAUAGAACGGUUACAAAGCGCCGCAAUCUGCGCAGUAGAAGAAAUUGUGAUUCCAAAAUGAAAGAAAAUAUUUACGGUCAGUUACCUGGUGGAAGCCGAGGUAGCUCUCGAUGCUGUGCGUUGCGAAGAACACCUCUCCCUCACACGUGAGCAUCAGCAGGAAGCCGUUCAGCGCCUGCAACACACGACCCUGUCAGCUGUCAGGCUGUCAGGCUGUCAGGCUGUCAGGCUGUCAGGCUGUCAGGCCGUCAGGCUGUCAGGCUCAGGCGUCUGUGCGGCCCAGCCGCCAGCCAACUACGCUGCUGAAAAAUGUGCACACUUAACUCAGAAACAAAACUGGAUACCACCGACUAGCAGCAAUAUUAAUAAUCGAUUAUCUAGUUUUUUUUGUAAUCGAGUACGUUCACCGCAGAGAAAUUACAGUAAAUUUACCGAACUUUUCAACGAAUAAUUUAACUCAAAUAAGUUAAGACUUCUUCGUAACUUGAAUCGUCGUAGAAACACCGCCGUAUUUAGACUUUCGAUUUGUACCUACAGUGAACUCCCUAUUAUCCGCGGGCGGAUGAUCCGCGCAUGCUACGAAAAAAUACAGCACAUAUGUAAAUCUGUAUUUUAUUACAAGUGAGCAAAUUUUAACUCUACUGACGAGUGUAUUGUGUGCAGUAUACAGUAAAACGCCACAGGCCUUCUCGGAACUCACUCAGUAGGCUGGCAUGCGUUGCUAUUUUUGUCUCUGUCGCACUUUGUUUCUAGUCGUAUGGUUGCUUUUUUAGUGUCUAAUGAAGACUCUGAGUACGUACAGUACGGUAUCCUUGUUACGAAGUAAGUUCCGAGCACUUUUAGGUUUAAAUUACUGAAAUGUAUUGUAUGUUAAUUAUUCAGUAAAAUACUAAAAUUUUAGCAUCAUUUAAAAUUUUUUACUGUUAAUUGUAACUUUUACUGACAUAAAGUCUUAGAUUUUUAAGUUUAAAUUAAUGUUUCAUUUUUUGUUUCCCAUUUUCGGCUCUUUUGCGGAUUAUCCGCGAUUUUCACUAUCCGCGAUGGCCCUGCCACUUAAUUUUGCGGAUAAUCGGGAGUGUACUGUACUUGUAUUUCGUUAUAAACAAAGGUGGACAAAAGAAGAGUGUUAUUACUGUAGACUUAACCAGUUUUCGAAUGUUUUGUUAGUAUACCAAAAAUUAUCAAAGUGAGUUAACUCAGUGUACGUAAAGUUACGGAGAUAGCAGUAAAUUUACAAAGAUACUGGAUAGUUCUUAACCAGUUUCCUGCGUAAAUUUGAAGUAAAAAAUUUUCAACUGUGU